CAAAAAGGCCAGCACAUUCCCUGUCUAAAAGUGGCAGCGGCUACUCAGCUCAGCCAAGUACAGUAGUAUCCCUUUAUCUACUAAGAUAUGUUCCAAGAUACUUCCCUUCCAGUGGAUGCCUGAAACCAUGGAUAAUACUGAACUCUCUACAUACUGUGGCUUUUUUCCAUCUAAUAACUAAGACAGCUACUAAGUGACCAAUGGGCAGGUUGCAUCUAUGCUGAACAAAGGGGUGAUUCACAUCCCAGGCAACACGGAGUGGGACUCAGAGAUUUCAUUACCCUACUCAGAACAGUGUGCAAUUUAAACUGUAUUGUUUAUUUCUGGCAUUUUCCACUUAAUAUUUUCAGACUAUGGUUGACCACAGGUAGUUCAAACUAAAGAAAGUAAAACUGUGGGUAAGGGGGUACUACUGUUUUACCGCUUGGGAAUGUGGCCCAUUGCUUUCAGAUAAUCAGUAAUUGCAAAAGUUGAAAAUACGAAGUUCUAUGGGUAGUUUUCUAAUUUUCAAAUGUCAGUAGCUAAUUUACAAUUAUUUAAAAUACUAUGUGGGAUAAUUUGUGAGCUCUGUCUUAAUGUUUGUAAGACUAAUUGCCACUGGAAAUGGAAUUCUGCCUGGCUGUGACCCCUCAGUGAUAGAAAUAGAAUCCAUAAGUGGUAGUUACAGAGAAAUAGGCCUUGGUUCAAAAUAAGAACACAUUUCCUAAUAACAUUACUCAAAGGCAGAGUGUUCUGCUGUAGGGAAUGAGUUGCUCAUUUCUAUAUAUGUUUAAGGAUCAGUUGGUUGACAUCUUUGCCAGAACUGUGUAAAGGAAGACCAGACAUCAGAUAGAUGGGAUGUUAGCCUUCACAUCUCCCUUCCAAACCUGAGCUUCUUUGAAUCAAAAGCACUACUUCUUCACGAAGGUUUUAAUUCAAGGCAGACUGGGCAUUCAGAAUGAGCCUUUUGGUUUUACUUUCUGUGUCAUACAUAGAACACAUGUGUGCCAUUUCUGGUCUGUUAAUAUAGGAUGGGAUUGGGAUGACUUUUCCAAGGGAAAAUGUUUCAAAGGCUGAUUAUUACUAUUUUAGACUUCCUAUCUCUUGGGUUUGCCUUGCCCUGAGUUGGCCUGUGCUUCUUCAAAUACACUCAGCAAGGUUCAACUUGGCUUGGCUGUGUCUCUGCUGGUAUUAUUUUCUAUGGAAAUAAAUGCACACAGACUCUGAUAAUUUAUACACAUUCAGAUGUAACCAUAAGGAGAAACCAACACUUUAUAUUUUUAAAUUGCCAUAAAUCUGGGAUCUGGAAAUGAACAAUUUUUCUUCCUCUGAAUACAUCUAUUUCCCAAUCCCAAUAUUGGUACUUUCUGUACCUUCAAAAACAUUGACUAUAUCAAUAUAAAACUGAAAAUGUGAACAUUUAAGCAAAAACAAUUUGGCCAAUUAAACCAGAUACAACAAUUAAUUCAAUGACAAAAAUAAGUCAAACAAGUCAGCUUUGGCACAUGGAGGCAUUCAAGACACCAGCAUCUGUUUUAUUUUUGACAGCCGCGUCUGGUCCUUAUAUAUUCAUCUAACACUUUCAGUAGAUCUUGACUUCAGUAUGAAACUCGCUCACAUUUUCAAAUCUACAAAGGACAGAUUUUAACCAUUAUUCUGAAAAUGCUUUCCUUUCCACGAGAAAAUGAAGAGGAAAAAAGACUGCUUUAUAUUAAAAUGCUUAUUUCAGCCUUGAAGAUAAGCCCUAGCCAUUCUCAGAUGCUGAAAUACUUUGGUUUGGAAGAUCUUUACUACAUGGUUCUUGGCCUGGAGCCUCAUCAUGCUAGAGAAUCCACUCGAAUGUUCUGUUUUUCAAUCAUUUGUUUGCAAAGUCUAAUCUGGAAGGGGAACUAAUAUUAAGAAGCUUUUAUGUGCAAGGGCUGUGCCAGGCGUUUAACAUAUACUGUCUUGUUUAACCCUCACAACGACCUGGUGGGGUGGGCAUUUCUAUCCACAUGAGAAAGUAGGCUCCCAAGCUUCAGAAUCGAAUCAGAGCUUGGGACUCAGGGCAACCAGCUCCAAGAUCACACAGGUUUUUGUUUGUUUGUUUGUUUGUUUCAGCAUUAAGACAAAUGAUGGGGGAAAGGAGAAAAGAAAUCUUUUGUAACUUAGGUAAUCCAAAAUAAAAUUUCAGGAACCAUUUAUGAAACUAUCUCUUUGAAUCAUAAUUCCAGUUACACACUAAAUAUAACCUUAGGGAGACUGAGUAAAAACAUUUAUUGAUUAGCCUUACAGUAAAUUUGUGAGAUUUAAAUUUUCUAAAUCUUAUUGCAGAUGGUACUAGCUACUGACUUUGACUUUCGGCUGUUAGACUGAUCAUUAACAAAUAACUCCUGAACCCACAUCAACUUUGAGUGAACUUUGGUAUUUUUCUUUGCUCUGAUUUGUUACCAUCUACGUCCGCCUUCUUUGGUAACCCCGAUGAUCGUUCAAAGUAGGACUUUGAGCAGAUAUCCUAAGGCUGAUAUCCCAAUUCUGCGUCUGUUUUUUUCCUUGAGGUUUAAACAGUAUGUUGAAUCAACAUUCUAUCAAGAGCCUUUUCAGUGCUUUCUACCAAGAAGUUCUUAGUGAGAGCUGCAUUCAGUUCAACUUUCUUUCUCGGUUCCUUUCCCUACCGUGGUUUAGUGUGUUGAAAAAUCCUUCCGCAUCAGCAUUUAUGCAACAUAUAAUUUUUUUACUCUCAUCCAACAGGCACAUUUGGAUUUACUAUUUCACUUGAACAGUUGGUGUUUACUGGCAGCAACAAGAACAAAAUUUAUAGCAGCAAAUGGAAGCUGAACUCGCAUGCUGGCUUUGCACUGAAGAACUUUGUGUUUGCCAUUUCCUAAUUGUGAAAACAGUAUGUCCAAGAUUUUGCAGUCAUCAGCAUUCUGAUGUAACGACUUCCAUCUGGUCAAAGGAAGGAAUUCAGAACCGCUAUCUCCUUUAGAAUUCUACUCCAAUGCAAAGGCAUAUCUACAGCUCUUCAAAUAAGCAAUGUGAUGUUAGAAAAAGUGCAGAAGCUCCUUGAGCACUUUUCAGGGCUAACCAGCUGCUGAGGAGGAACCUCCAGGAAGGAGAGAAGCACUCUGAUCCAGACAGGGAUUUACACCUAAAGUACCAACUCCACCAUGUCUUCAGAACAGCUCUUCUAGACCUUGCAUCCAAUUGUGGAGUCAUUAAUUAUCAACGAACAAAAUCUCCGGGUGCCCGAAGGACCUAGCCUAUGCAGAAACCUGUGAACUGCUGAUGAGAACGCAGUGAGUCAAAAGAAUAAUGGAAUUAAAUAAGUUCGGAGUCUUUAAGUGUUUCUUAAAACUCUUAUCUAUAAACCCCUAAUCUUACUAAUUUCCGGCACACUUGUUAUUCAUAAACAUUUGAUCGUCGUUCGUAGAAGAUCUAACAAAUUAACACAAUGGAUUGUUUUGGUGAUGAAGGGACAGUAUACUAUUCCAUUUAGCUUGUUCAGGGCACUUGAGUCAAAUCCCUUGAGUCCUCACUGCAUCAGACAGUCCAUGAAAUCCUGAUGGCGAUAUCAUAAUUAUCCAUAAAGUUAGAGUAUUCACUAAUUAAGAAUGCUGAAGAAUGAAGUAUAUUAAAUGGGUCAUCCUGCAUUUUUUUUUUU